rnacentral:rRNA from 1 species
UACGUAGGGUGCAAGCGUUGUCCGGAAUUAUUGGGCGUAAAGAGCUCGUAGGUGGCCUGUCGCGUCGGCUGUGAAAACUCGGGGCUCAACUCCGAGCUUGCAGUCGAUACGGGCAGGCUAGAGUUCGGCAGGGGAGACUGGAAUUCCUGGUGUAGCGGUGAAAUGCGUAGAUAUCUGGAGGAACACCGGUGGCGAAGGCGGCAUCCUGGACCAACACUGACGCUGAUGAGCGAAAGCCAGGGGAGCAAACGGG